ACUCUGUUGUGUUACUACGACUGGUCUGAAAUGCCUGAGUGCACCCUGCUGUUGCAGCGUCUUCAGUGUGAUAAGCACCUUCACUGAUUCAAGCUCCCUUUUGGGACACGUAGCACUGUGGGCUCUGUGCUGACGAACCGUCUUUGGACAAUCUUUGACAAUUUGACCUCAAAUCGGGUGGGACUACCCGCUGAACUUAA
rnacentral:misc_RNA from 1 species